UUCCCAGUCAUACCCCACAACCCAGUGUCAAGACACCCAGGUACCUGAGGUGUUUCUCUGGACCACAGGUCUGGCCGGUUCACACCUGAUGAUUUGCUGGGCCAGACUCCUUGGCUUGCCGUGCAAGGCCUUUCUGAAUCUGGCCUCAGUCUACCUUUGUGGCUCCAUUCUUCCCUGUACCCUUCUGGACCCCUGGGUCUAGCUGCCCAGGUCGACCACCCACUCUUCUACAGCUGUGCUUGGGACCUCAAUGCUCCUUUCCAGCCAGGAACUUGGCUUGUCAAAACCGACUGGAGCGGAACCAGCAGGCCUCUUUUCCUUGCCUUUUGGGACCAAAAAGCAGUGAACCAGGAUGGGACAGGCCUCUUCAGAGUCAGACACAUACAGGUGUCUUAAAGAGGAACGUGCAUCUCUGAGUCUGUCAUCAAAAUUUUUAUUCCAAGUCUGCAUGACAUGAGGAUUGUUGGAUUUCUGUCCUUUUGGUGUUUAUGGAGGACACAAAAAAGAAUUACUAUGAGUAAAUAAACAGAGAAGAUUAAAGGCCUUUCUCUAUGGGGGCACCGUUUAUGAGGCAGCAAGCCAGGAGACUUGUUUCUGGGAUUUUGUGAUGCUGCUGCAGCCGUGAACCACAUCCCAUUUCUGAGUUGUUGCAGUUGGAGCUCCUCAGCUUCUGAGUCUUCGCAUCCAGAGGCUCUGAUCUCAGCCCAUGUGUAUGUUCUGGGAGUGUCCCUGCCAGCACACAGGCCCUAAAGGAAAUGGGCAACUUGGGAGUCAGAAGGUAAAUAAAAAAUGGGAAAUCCCCAGCCAGACCUGCUCUCCUGGCUUCAAGGGGGGAGAAGAGGUCAGGGCAGAGAUGCAGAAGCUCUGGCUCUUGCCCUGCACCACCAUCUGAGGCGAGACCCUUAGGACUUGGCUGCUGAUACAGGACUGGAUAUUGAGAAUCAGCCAGCUCUGGAAUCACAGGUUUUGUUAUAUUCUGAUCCUUCAAACGAUGAACUCCUUCAGACUUCAUCUUUGCAAAAGUAACAGGAUUCCUCAAGUGACCCUGGGCAGAACAAAGAUCAGCUUCUCAAGGACAGAGAAGAGGAACAAGGGAAACAAGGAGGAGAUGAAGACUGGAGAGGACAAACGUUUUGCUCAAAUUACGCCACCAGUGAGAACUGCUAGAAUUUGAACCCAGUUCUGUCUUACACCUAGAGUCCAUGCUGGUUCCACCCUGUGGCACUGCCUCCCACUUUACGGAGCAUCUCAGGAUGCUGGUAAGUCCAGCCUUGGCAGGAAGCACACUUCUCACCCCCAAGGGCGGGAGAAGUGAGAAGGAGUGGGCGAGGGAACGAGGGACAAAGCUCUUGUUGAGUCCUUCCAAACCCUGCCACUUGUCUAGGCACUCCACCUGUGCUUAAUCUCAUUUCGUUCUCCUAACACUGGGUGGGAAAGGCAUAACUGCCCACAUUUUGCAGUCGAGUGUAUUGAGGCUCAGAAAAGGCAAUUGAUUUGCCGAAGGUCACAGAGCUGGUAAGUGGUGGACCAAGGAUUCCCGUCCAGAUGGGCCCAACUUCAAAACCCAGGCAAAUUAAAAAUAUAAUUUUGUACUUAAUCAAGUAGCAUCUCAUGCUAGAUUCUAUUAAAGGUGAGCUGUAGCAGAGGCCAACACUUAACAAUAACUUUAUAGUUGAAAAAUUUAUAAUUAAGGCAAUUAACUUAUUUUUCUGGGAAUAGGGAAAGAUUUGACGUUAUUGAAUUUUCGCUGCAGAAGAAUCUGGAGCCUCAUUGAAGAACCAUGGAGUGUGUUCAGUAAAGCAGGAGUUAGAGAGAGCAGCUUAGGUAAGCUGACCUCGGCCACGUGCCCAGAAAGGGGACAAAUGCAAGAGCUUUCUGGGCACGGAGAGCAGGCAGGAAGCACGGCCAGGUUCGCCGCUGCCUGGGAGAGUACUUUUGGCUUUAGUCUAGGCUAUAUGUAGUGUCUGCCAGAGGGGAUCAUAUGUUCUCAAAAAAAUAGGGACUGGGAACAAACUAAUUUGAUCAUUUGUCUUCCCUGCUCAAUAACCUUCAGUGUCUCCCCAUUGUAUCCCAAAUAAAUCCCGUAAGCCCUACCUUGACAUUCACAGCUUAGCACAAUCUGGUCCCACUUUACAUUCCCAAUACUAUGCCACACUCAUCACCCCACAGAAACUUCAUGCUCAGGUUAAACUGGUUCGCUUUUUAUUCCAUUAACCCAAUUUUGAGUCUUUCUCCUUUCCUCCCCUUUCCUUCCAAAUCUACUUAGUAAAAAUCCUGCUCUCAAUUCUUCAAUUUCCUUUCCGAGGUGACUCCUCCACGAAGUCUCCUCUGAUUGCCCACCUAGAAGCAAACGCUCCCUCUCUUUACUUACACGUGGCAUUGAUCACACAGUGCCUUGAAUUGAGAUUAUUCAUGUACAUGCCUCCUCUUUCCUACUAGGCGCAAGCUCCUUGUGGGCAGAGGUGAUUCCUCACGCCUGUGGGUGUAGGAAUAAACCAGUAACAAAUGAGCUAAAAGAUUAAUGUCUUAUCUAUGAUGUCAUUAUAGUUAAAUAAUGGUCAGUGUUUACGUUCAAUAAUUUGAAAGGACUUAGCUUGAACUGGCUUAAAAGUGUGUUAGAGACCUGAAACAUUUUGAGAAUUAGGUUUUUUUUGGAGUUCAUAAAUGAUUAAUAUUCACUCAUUCAUUCAAUAUCCUCAGUGUGGAAUAAUAUUUUUUUCUGAAAACCUUUUUAGAGAGAGCUUGAGGGUACAAGUCUCCCCCGACACCAAGACUGGGUCUACCAGGAAGCACAAUGCCACAGGUCCUUAGUGCUAUUAGGACUGCCAGGCUGUGUGUCUGCACGUGCACACGUGCCCCAUUUGCUGUAUCCCCUCAUUUGCUAGUCACUGUACUAGGGUCUUGAGUCUCAUGGUUCCCUCCACGGCUGCAGAGUAUGGCUCUCCAAGCAAGCUCCAAGUCUUGCCAGGCCUCCAUCUCCUCCAUAGUUAGGUCAAGCCAAGGGAGAGAAAUUGAAGGAUGCUGCUGUUAAAAAUACUUGGUAACCAGCCAAGUCAUUUCGCCAGCGUUCAGCUCCGACAUUGUACUCUGUUUAUGACUGGGAGGGAGAGACAUUCCCAACCAAGAAAUACCUCUGGCCAGUUUGCACAGCAGCGCUGGCCCUUGUCUCUAGUUCACUUGUUAAGUUUGCAAAAUUACGUCAGCAAGGCCCCAUCUUGGAUCAGUCAUAGCCAGUAGAAAGACGGCCCCUCUGACUCUGGCUAAAAGCCAAGUGCGGCUCCGCUCCAUCCAUCUACCCACAAAUCUGGACUUACCUGAAUGGGAAAAACAUCAUUGUCCUCUUUGGCUCUCUCCGUUUUUGGAAAGUUGGAGAAUGAUCUCAUUUUGAGUGGAAACCAAGAUAACUUACUCUGCUUGCUGCAUCCAGAGGCAGUUUACUCAGUGGUCCAGGAUUCAGGGCUCUGGGGCCAGUGGGAACUCAGCUCACCCUUCAGCUGUGGGUUGUGUUUCGUGGGUGUGGUCAGGUUUCUUGACCUCCCUGUGCUUUGCCCCCUCAUCUGCAAAGCAGGACUACUCACCGGACUUCAUAGUUGUCGAGAGAAUUAAAUGAGCUGAACAUAGCAAUGGACCAAGGAAGCGCUCCAUGGGCGUCGUCUAUUAUUAGAAUCACAACUGCCCACGGGGAUGUGACAGGUUCAGCUGACCCGCUGUAGCCGCGUCGCUCCAAGGAUGACACGCUCCUUCUUUUGCUUUUUUCUCCCCUGAUUGAUUCCUUAAUCAAAAUUCAAACCUAACCGUGAAGUUGAUAGCAUUUCCUGUCGAACGUGACCCUUGACUGGGGGUAUGGGAUGCUUCCUGUGUUAUUCUGGCCUGUGCAAUAGACGUUCCCACACUGUUCCCUUCCAGAGAGGGGCUGUGCUAGGCGGCGGGAGGUGUAGGGGUGAGAAGAUAGUGAAGGCACUAUUCUUGCCCUCGGGAGCUUGUCGUCUGGUUGGACUGAAAGAAAGGUGCCCGAUUCCUAUAAAACACCACCAAGUGUGAAAACUGUUGAAAAUGAGACGCAAACCCAAUGACCAGGCUGUUGGCGCUAACCCGUGUCACUGUCCUUCCUUAUUUUAAUUAUGGUUUCCCUUCUCUGCUAUCAUCAAAUUGAAAAAUCCUUCACAUGGUAGUCUAGCAACAUUGUUAUGUUGUCAUACUGCAAAUCAUGUGGGAAGAGCAAAUUGUUUUCAGAGAAAGUUUCAAGUAAAUUCAUGAGCUUAUGGACAAAUUGCCCGUUAAUUGCUUUUGAAAAAAAAACACUGUCAAUGGACUAAUUUCAAUCUUCAAAAAAGAAAAAAGAAAAAAGAAUGCCAUCUCCCAUGUUUCUGGAGCUUUAAGGUUUAUAAAUCUCACUGUUGUGCGUUUUCCCUCUGAGUCCUGACGGUGACUCUGUGAUGGUGGGAGGGAUUCUCAGUCUCAGGUUGGAAAUGCAGGCAGGGGCUUGGACCGUGUCUUGCUCUGUUCGCGUGCUGAGGGGGCUUGUGAGGUUUUGGAACCCAGGAUCCCUGACUUCAAAUCCAGAGCCCUUUCGCUACCUUACUCUGUAGUCAAGUAGUUCUGCACCAUUUCACUAACAUUUAAUUAGCUAAAAGUGGAAACAGGUAACCUUGAAAUUAAUUCGAGUUAAUGUUAAAUGUUGCUAACUUUUUAUUAGUUGAGUGUUUCCAUUAACUUUUCCAGUGGCUGCUUUUUUUGUACCCACCCACAGCAGUGAACAAAAUCGAGUAAGUGCUCCGUAAGUCUUUACUGAAUAAGCAGAUAGCUUAGCUGGCUGGGUUUGGCUGCAGGGUGGGGUUAGAAGUUUGAGUCACGGAAGACAAAACUGAGUAUUGAAUUCACUCUUUGGUUUGUCAAGUAUUAAGUCUCUGUUCUAUGUACAGUGCUCCAUGGAGUAGAGCAUGGCACACGUGUGGUCCUUGGCAAGUUAUUUAACGUCUCUGAGCCUCAGUUGCCUUGGCUUUAAAAAUGAGGAAUAAUAAUAGCACCCAAUUCAUGGGAUUGUUAUUAGCAUCAAAUAAAUUGAUGUAUAGAAAGAGCUUGGUUCAGAGACUAUCACGGAUUGUUGGUGCUCAGUAAGUGGUAAAGAUAGUAAUUAUCAAUCUCCGUGCUCUGUAUUUAUACACGGUUCAUACCCCGAGGUCCCACAGAUUCGAUGAAGUGGCCUGUUGCUCUCAGUAGCAGCACACAAUGCCCCUGUCGAUUUGUUUUGGAGCAGAGGAGGGAAACGGAGGCCAGCUAUGAAAGCAGAGCUGCGUUCCCGUGGUCCUGAUGGAGGAAGAAAGGGUCUUCCUUCUUAAUUUUAGGUGACAAUUGGGGAAGGGACCCAGACAACUCACGUGCUGGACACACGCCACACUCCACAUGGGGCCUCCACUCAGCAUCCUUUGGGAAUUCUAGGCCCCUGGGCCCUUCAGCCGAUUGCCUGGGUCAGAUGUGUGUGCGGGGAUGCAGGGAUGGGGCCUUUGAUACAGUGACCACUCUGGGUUCGAGCGACAGAAUGACAAAGCUGGCAAAGCAGGGUGCAGGUAGAUUGCUUCCCCUUCUGCAGUUCUGUGUCCUCUCUCUACAGUGGAAGGAAAGAGUCCUCCCUGGGGCCCUGGAGGGCUUCUACCUCAGUCCUCCCCUUGAGCAGGGCUCUUCUGAGGCUGAGCCCUGGGGACGGGAGGGGGCAGGGGAAAGGACUGGAGUGCUGGCCUCAUCCCCAGGGACCCUUCCUGGGAGUGAAUGUGGGCACAGAGACCUCCACUUUGACUCGCCCCAGACUGGGCUGCAGUCUGGGCCUGAGGCACAGCACUGAGUUGCUCUAAUGAAUGGAGCUGCUGGCCAGCUUGUUUACGACCUGACAUUUUUGCUGGCCCUGCCAGCAGCUGCCUCCUACUCUAAGUGGGGAAAAGCCACUUAGGAAGACAGCAAAGCAACCUGCCACCAAUCUGUCAGCAAUUGGCUUCCAUUAGGGAUAGGACCGCCGUGAGGUCGGGGAGGGGCAGGCUGGGAGGGAGAAUGAAAGAGAAAGACAGAUCUGUCUGUUUCAUCUCAUCCGGUUUCCAAAUCCCAAAGGGAUGUUCGGGGGAGGAGACUUGGUAAACUGGCUGAUUGUCUCUUUCGAGGUGGCAGCUGGGUUCAAAGGUGUCUUCACCUCUCUCUCUCAUGGAAAGAAAAGAACCAAAUGCCAAUUUUGCUGAUUGUAUCAGUUGGUAGAAGUGCAUCAGGUUUAUCAUAAACUGUCCUGGCUGCCCCCCAGGAUGGUUUAUCUGUCCCCAUUUCUGUCUGAUCUGUUGUAUCUGUCUAUUCUCAUGUCUGUGUCUCCCAACUGACCAUGGCUUUCCCCGAGUUUUUCUUCCCUAGUUGUAUAUAUUCUUUUUAAACAUCUUUAUUGGAGUAUAAUUGCUUUACAAUGGUGUGUUAGUUUCUGCUGUAUAACAAAGCGAA